UUCCCACCAGACUGUGAGCAGGGCUACCUCUCACACCCUUUGCCCUAUUUCCCUGAGAGUCUUGACAUGAGAGAUUCCUGGGCUUCAGAAAAAUCACAAUCCUGUAGGAUUUCAAAACGGAUCUUGGGAGCUGUCACAGGCUUUGCUAAUUUUUUAUUUUGCAAAGUAAGGAGAGCCAAGAAGCCAGUUCUUAUGGAUUGCUACCAUAAUUUGAUUAAAAAAAAAAUUUUUAAUGCCACACUAUUGGAAAGCAUACAACAAAAAGAUUUUUUAAAAGAGUCAUAUAAACCUAGCUUUAUGUUAACUGUGCUCCUUUUUUCUCUUUUCAAAGCAGACCGGUGGCCACAUCACCCUGCACGGGCACCAGUCCCGGCCCCACAGGUUGGGAACCUACUCUGCAAAACAGCCACUUGGUGAGCCCAUUCCAACGCCGCCUCUGAGAGGAACUGUGUUCACCCCAACGAAAGUACAACCUCACGUCAGAAGGUGCACCCUGCGUGACAGAACCCAGGAGAUAAGGGGAUGGCGUCACACGAUACAAAGGUUCCCAAAGAUCUCGGUAAGUACUUCCUGAAUAAGCAGAUAAGGGCCCUCAGUAUGACUCAGAUCUCAGGGGUUAAAUUCUUAUCCAACACCCACAUGACGGUCAUCUCUGAGGUUAGAAGCUACCCGAGUGCUGAACCCGGUAACAUGCACUCAGCACUGAGGUCUCGGGAACCAGUUAACACCUCGCGCUCACCUCUGUGUUAGUCAGCUGGUACCCUCAUCCACCCCAGGGCCAGGUUAACAAUGUGGAGGAAGUCAUUCUGAGCAAUGGGGCACACCCAGUUUUCCCGGUAUUCGUGAGCCAAUCAGAAAUGCCCCCGCCUGACCUCCCUAGGCCCAAACAGCCCUUCCCCCCUGCACGGUCAAGUGCAAAGCUUCCCAAACGUGAGGCCGAGGAAGGCCUUUCAAGGUCUCCUAACCGAGUGACGGGUUUGUACAAAGGAGCAGGAAAGCCAGCAAACUUUGAGGUAUGCCCACGGCUCACCGCUUCCCGAGGGCCCUGCCGAGGGUACGGCCUGGCCCAGCGCACAGCCUCCCCUGCCAAACUGCUCGGUGUGGGUCUGGACUCUGGAGAGGAGAGCCUGCCAGAGAGGCUCCACGGGAAGCCAAGGUUGUGUCAAAUCUAUACUAUCAGACAGAUCGUGCAAGCGGUGUGACCUGCCGACAAGAGGAAUGUCCUAUCAGGGCAUCUCCAAGAACAGCGAGGGGGAAAUACCUCCUGCCCACAUGCACCGCUGACCUAACUGCUCGUGGUUUCCACUCACAGCCGGAGGGCAGCAGCCACCGAAGCUGGGCGCACGCGCACGCAUCCACAAGCAAGAUUCGCGAAUGUCACUGUUACUUGUGUGCACAUGCUCAUGACACCUACCCAUCUGACAGCUUCUCCUUCGACUCGGAAAGACUGCGGCUGCGUUUUAAACUCGCCCUGCUCUCCGGAGGGUGUCUCUCAACUGUUGCAGGCUUGAACUGGGGAAGAACAACAGCAGAGGCCCUCAGCCCCCCUAAGAGGGACAGCUUCAGCGCCAGGCUUCCCCGAGCCACUGCACUUGCCCGGGUCUCCUCCACAACCGCCUCCGAGUUUGACUGACUCAGUGUCAGUGCCCAUGAUGAAAACGAUGUCCAAGGAACAAGUUUGCAACGUAACAUGAGGGCCGAAGAAAAGAAAGGUGAUGGGAUAUUAUAAUGUUAAAUAUCAGGGUCUCAGCUCCGGCAGACUGGAUUUGAAUCAUUCUCUGCUAAUUAUAAAUGGCAUGAUUUUGGUCAAGUUAACGUCUAACUCCAGUUUUCAUUAUCUGCAAAAAUGGAGCUGAAAUUGUCCUCAGAGUUAUUACAAAAAUGAAAUGAGAUUAAACAUCCCCAUUUUUUAAACUGUUA